rnacentral:rRNA from 1 species
AACGAACGCUGGCGGCAGGCUUAACACAUGCAAGUCGAGCGCCCCGCAAGGGGAGCGGCAGACGGGUGAGUAACGCGUGGGAAUCUACCCAUCCCUACGGAACAACUCCGGGAAACUGGAGCUAAUACCGUAUACGCCCUUCGGGGGAAAGAUUUAUCGGGGAUGGAUGAGCCCGCGUUGGAUUAGCUAGUUGGUGGGGCAAUGGCCUACCAAGGCGACGAUCCAUAGCUGGUUUGAGAGGAUGAUCAGCCACAUUGGGACUGAGACACGGCCCAAACUCCUACGGGAGGCAGCAGUGGGGAAUACUGGACAAUGGGCGAAAGCCUGAUCCAGCCAUGCCGCGUGAGUGAUGAAGGCCCUAGGGUUGUAAAGCUCUUUCACCGAUGAAGAUAAUGACGGUAGUCGGAGAAGAAGCCCCGGCUAACUUCGUGCCAGCCGCCGCAGUAACAC